AUCCAGCUGACGAGUCCAACGUAGGAUGAAACGUACAUCCUGGAU
rfam:Schistosoma haematobium scaffold233_13, whole genome shotgun sequence.